rnacentral:rRNA from 1 species
UACGUAGGGGGCGAGCGUUAUCCGGAAUUACUGGGCGUAAAGCGCACGCAGGCGGUUCGCCAAGUUUGGAGUGACAGUUGUCGGCUCAACCGACAAAGGACUUCAAAACUGGUGAACUUGAGGACGAGAGAGGAACAUGGAACUCCAGGUGUAGUAGUGAAAUGCGUAGAUAUCUGGAAGAACACCAAUGGCGAAGGCAAUGUUCUGGCUCGUUUCUGACGCUCAGGUGCGAAAGCCAGGGGAGCGAACGGG